ACUGCAGUCUGCAACUCGACNGCACGAAGCUGGAAUCGCUAGUAAUCGCAGAUCAGAAUGCUGCGGUGAAUACGUUCCCGGGUCUUGUACACACCGCCCGUCACACCAUGGGAGUCAGUAACGCCCGAAGUCAGUGACCUAACCGCAAGGGAGGAGCUGCCGAAGGCGGGACCGAUAACUGGGGUGAAGUCGUAACAAGGUAUC
rnacentral:rRNA from 1 species